CGAAGGCUGGAGAUCCAAGUGCAGUAGUUUAUUAGAGGGAUAAUCCACAAUCGUAGUCAAUACAGGUAUGAGUUCAAACACAAUAAGCAGUCCAAACAAUGAGAGAGUUCAAGGCUGAGGCAAACAGAGUAAUCCCGAUAAACAGGCUUAAAAAACCCGCGGCGGAAAAACCCGCGGCGGCGGGCUUUGUGUUUACAUCAAUGACGCGUGGUGCCGCGAUGCUGUUGCUAAUACCAAGAACCAGGAUAAAAGGCUUAGAACUGCAGCCAUAACACAUGCAAGACCUUACAAAGAGUAACUGAAAACACCAGGCUUAUAUAGGCAUAGGUAAUGACCAACAGGUGAAAUCAAUCAGGCAUGAUGAGUCCAGGUAAUGAGUUAUGGGAAAUGCAGUCCAGGGCGGGAGGGCGUGGUGGCUGAAAAAAGAAACUGACACGUGGAUCAUCAUCAAGGCUGUCCAAGCCUUUCUGGGGAGCUGGUAGUGGAAGGCUGGCAGUUGGUAGACAAGCUGGAUUGUGCCUGGAGCUCUGAUGGUAAGAAGUGAUGGAUUCCGGAAGCGAUGCAGAAAUGGAGGAUGAAAUGGUUGAUUCGGAGAGUGGAGGCAAUGCAAGUAACAAAAGGAAAGUGGUAGAAACUCAGAAAAGAAAGAAAAGUUGGGGACAAAUUUCAGAAACGGACAGUGAAAAGGGAAAUCACCAGGCAAAAAGGAGAAAAGAGGAAUAUAAGGAUUUACACAAGCUCCAGUCUGGAUCCAGAACACCUGAGAAGAGAUGAUGCCAGCCCCUCAGAGGACCUCAGAUGAUGCUAACCCAGAGACAACAUACAGAACUACUACAUUUUGCUAUAAGUUUGAUUGCAUAAUUGCUGUAAAUAGCGUCAAUCGUCUGUUUGUUUACAUGUUUUAUUGAUUUUUCCAAACAUUUCUGCCGUAUGCACAUGCACAAACUGACAGUCAUCACUGAUAAGCUACUACUAAAUAUUGUAGAAGCUUAAUUUUCUGUAAAGUUGGUUUGCAAUGAUUUGUAUCGUACAAAGCGCUAUACAAAUAAACUUGAAUUGAAUUGAAUUGAAUUGAAUGUC
ensembl:lncRNA